rnacentral:rRNA from 1 species
UACGUAGGGUGCGAGCGUUGUCCGGAAUUAUUGGGCGUAAAGAGCUCGUAGGCGGUGUGUCACGUCGGCCGUGAAAACCUGCAGCUUAACUGUGGGCGUGCGGUCGAGUACGGCAUCACUGGAGUUCGGCAGGGGAGACUGGAAUUCCUGGUGUAGCAGUGAAAUGCGCAGAUAUCAGGAGGAACACCGGUGGCGAAGGCGGGUUGCUGGGCCGACACUGACGCUGAGGCGCGAAAGCUAGGGGAGCGAACGGG